ensembl:lncRNA
GGACAAAACAUUCUUGAAAUGUUUAUAGAAUGUUCUUACAACUUUAUUAAUAUUUGAUAUAUGCUUUCCUAAUGUUGAGGGGAAAUGUUUUUUAGAACAAAGUUCUCAGAAUGACCUUAUGAUGUUAUUUGUACAUUCCCAGAACUUGUUCAAAACUGUGUUCAAUAAUAUUGAUCAGAAAAAAAGUUAAUUUAAAAAAAAUUGUUGCUCAUAACAAAUGCAACGUCUUGUAACAAAUAUAACACAUGCAAUGUUCUCGUAACAAAUGUAACGUUCUCGUAACACAAGCAAUGUUCUCGUAACAAAUGUACCGUUCUCGUAACAAAUGUAACAUUCUCGUAACACAUGCAACGUUCUCGUAAUAAAUAUAACAUUCUUGUAACAAAUGUAACGUUCCCAUAACAAAUUCAACAUUCUCAAAACAAAUGUAACGUUCCCAUAACAAAUGUAACGUUCCCAUAACAAAUUCAACAUUCUCAAAACAAAUGUAACAUUCUCAUAACAAAUGUAAUGUUCUCAUAACAAAUUCAACAUUCUCAUAACAAAUGUAAGUUUAUCAUAACAAAUGUAACGUUCUCGUAACAAAUUCAACGUUCUCAUAACAAAUGUAACGUUCUCGUAACAAAUUCAACAUUCUCAUAACAAAUGUAACUUUAUCAUAACAAAUGUAAGUUUAUCAUAACAAAUGUAACGUUCUCGUAACAAAUUCAACGUUCUCAUAACAAAUGUAACGUUCUCGUAACAAAUUCAACAUUCUCAUAACAAAUGUAAGUUUAUCAUAACAAAUUCAACAUUCUCAUAACAAAUGUAAGUUUAUCAUAACAAAUGUAACGUUCUCGUAUAAAUUCAACAUUCUCAUAACAAAUGUAAUGUUCUCGUAACAAAUUCAACUUUCUCAUAACAAAUGUAACGUUCUCGUAACAAAUUCAACGUUCUCAUAACAAAUUUAACGUUCUCAUAUCAAAUUCAACAUUCUCAUAACAAAUGUAACAUUCUCGUAACAAAUUCAACAUUCUCAUAACAAAUAUAAUGUUCUCGUAACAAAUUCAACAUUCUCAUAAUAAAUAUAACGUUCUCAUAACAAAUGUAACUUUCCCAUAACAAAUGCAACGUUCAGAAAUAACGUUUUCAAAAAGAUGGAGUGGAAUGGUCCUCUAAU